CUCGAGCCACUCAAAAACAGGUUUUCCAAAAACAGUAAUAGGCUACACUGUAUGAGAACAUAUCUCAAAAUACGCAAAUGUUAUUCUCUUCUUCAUCUACCUCAGAACAACAAUUGAUGCUUUUCUCUCAAAAUCAUUCUUCAUCUCAUCUCUCUCCUUUUCACUUCAUCUCUCUAUCUAUCUCUCUCGCUCUAAUCGCCGGAAACUUGAGAUAACGGUGGCGAUAACAUAAUGAAGAGGAAGAGAAGUAGAUUGAAUGAUGAUUGACCAAAAUAUAUGUCGAACUGGGGCGAAGAUGGUGGGGGUAUCGUGAGAGUUUUUGUUGGUGGUGAAUAUGUGGAAUGGUGAAUAGGUGAAAUAGUUUUGACAGUUGCAUCAAGCGGGAUAGCUGGAGAAUUUCAGAUUGGGUAAACUUUUAUCCCCCAUUGUGUUGCUAACAAUGGUGCAGUGUGUAUGCAUCUUUAUGAGAGUAUGAGGUCCAAGUAUCGAAAUUGGCAUAUCAAUGCUUUACGUUUAUUUGUCAAUUGGGUUUUCUUUUAAUAUUUCCGUAAAUUGAUAAUAUUGAUAGGCUCAUUGAUGGAAGGAUAAAAGUUUACAGAGAGGGAAAUGAGAAUGGGGGAUAAAAACCUGUUGCUUUAUAACUUUAUCAACCAAAUAUUCUACUUUUAUUGUUUAAUUAUUAUCUAAACUUAUUCUGAGCAUGCUUCAGACUAACAUCGUUUACACUUUCAAGUUUGAUGGGCUCAAUGCUUGCUUCUUAACUUCAUCUUCCAUAUCUUAUAGCAUGAAAACUUACCUCACACAACCACCUAUCAUGGGAAUGUGUAACUAAUACAUUUUAUAAUGCAGAUCUAUCUUUCUCCUCUAUAUACAUGUGCUUUGUUUGAGGCAGAUCAGACAAUUGGUAUUUUUCCUAAUCUCUCUACACUUCAUUUGUAUUUUUCUAUCAUUGCUUACUCUCUUUUUUCAUUGAAUCUUAUUCUUUGUGUGAGGUUUCUGAAAAGUGCAGGUGAGGUAAUGUGGGUUUGUGAGUUAUUUUUUUAAAGACUUAUUUUGCCAAUCACACAAGAUUUGGAGUUUAUUUACGAUUGGCAAAUCACAUAGUAAUGGUCUUCACUUAUCAAUUAAUUUCGGAUUGGAUUCUAUACUUUUUGGUUGAGUUCUUGAUCUGUAGACAAUGCUUCGGUUCCUGUUGGAUGCAUCUCAUUUGAUUAUGUGCGGUCUUUUUGCCUUGAGUUAGCCUGUCAUUGAGUUGAAGUACCUCAGUCUGAGUGGUGUGUUCCAGUUUUAGCAGUGUUGAGAUAUGCAUAUUGUUUUCGGAUUUUGGCUGCUGUAUUUUGAGUGGGGAGUUGAUGUAUCCAUCAGUAGAGAUGUGAAUUGCAAACUAUCCAUUUCAGGCUAUUUUUCUGCUCAGCAAAUUUGUUUGGACUGUUGCUGUAUUUUGUGAGAGGUGUCUUAUAAUUAUGCAUCUCAUGCUUCUUUUAGGCAGCAAUUACCUCUGUUUGUUUUGUUUACGAAGUUUAGGUGAUCAAGUUUCUUUCAACUUAAGCAUAAGAAUAUGUGUUUUGAUCAAGUUUUGAGUGGUUUUGGUGUUAUAUCUCUCUUUUGUUUGGCACAUUGUAAAGGUGUAAUUUGGUUAUGUGAUCAACUUAUUAGCGUUGAACACUUCUGUAAACUAUAAUUAUGCUGAAAUAUUUUAAUAUAUUUUUGUUACAAACUAUAUACGAUAAAUUUAUCUUUUCU
rnacentral:lncRNA from 1 species